AGAGUUUGAUCCUGGCUCAGAACGAACGCUGGCGGCAGGCCUAACACAUGCAAGUCGAGCGAGGACUUCGGUUCUAGCGGCGGACGGGUGAGUAACGCGUGGGAAUGUGCCCUUCUCUACGGAAUAGCCCUGGGAAACUGGGAGUAAUACCGUAUACGCCCUAUUGGGGAAAGAUUUAUCGGAGAAGGAUCAGCCCGCGUUGGAUUAGGUAGUUGGUGGGGUAAUGGCCUACCAAGCCGACGAUCCAUAGCUGGUUUGAGAGGAUGAUCAGCCACACUGGGACUGAGACACGGCCCAGACUCCUACGGGAGGCAGCAGUGGGGAAUCUUAGACAAUGGGGGCAACCCUGAUCUAGCCAUGCCGCGUGAGUGAUGAAGGCCUUAGGGUUGUAAAGCUCUUUCAGCUGGGAAGAUAAUGACGGUACCAGCAGAAGAAGCCCCGGCUAACUCCGUGCCAGCAGCCGCGGUAAU
rnacentral:rRNA from 1 species